AAGAUAGAUUUUUCCCUAGAGCCUCCAGUAGGAAAUGCUGCCCUUCUGAUAACUUGAGUUUAGUUCAGUGAAACCCAUUUUAGACCUCUGACCUCCAGAACUAAAAGAUGAUUUUUAAUCUGUUAUAUCUCUACAUUUGUGGUAAUUUUUUACAGUAGCAGUGAGAAACUAAGAUCCAUUGCUAUGGAGUACAUUGUGCAGCCCCUCUGCCCAAAUUCCUGUUGGAAGUGUCACCCGCAAUGUGGUGGUACUUGGAGAUGGAGCCUUUGGGAAGUAAUGAUGUUUACAUGAGGCCAUGAAGAUAAGAACCUCAUGAUGGGAUUAAUGCCUUGAUAAGAAGAGAUGCCAGAGAGCUUACUCUCUCUCUCUCUCUCUCUUUCUCUUUGUCAUGUAGGAACACCAAGAGAAGGCGGAAAUCUUCAAGUCAGAAAGAGAGCUCGCUGAAACCUGACCAUGUUGGCACCCUGAUCUUAGACUUCCAGGCUCUGAAACUAUACUUGUUGCAUGGUUUCCAUUCUGUGCUGCCUUCUCUUCUGGACGAUGGGGUUAGGAUAGUGAAUGAGAAGGUUCUGGUAACCAGCAAUCUAAUCUCUACCUUCAUGAGAUUCACUUUUUUUUUUAACUCCCGUAUAAGAGUGAGAACAUGUGACAUUUGACUCUCUGUACUUGGUUUAUUUCAGUUAUCAAAAUGACCUCCAGUUCUAUUCAUGUUGCUAAAAAUGACAAAAUU
rnacentral:lncRNA from 1 species